rnacentral:rRNA from 1 species
UACGUAGGGGGCAAGCGUUGUCCGGAAUCAUUGGACGUAAAGAGCGUGUAGGCGGCCAGAAAAGUCCGCUGUGAAAACUCGAGGCUCAACUUCGAGCUGUCGGUGGAAACUUUCUGGCUAGAGUCCGGAAGAGGAGAAUAGAAUUCCUGGUGUAGCGGUGAAAUGCGCAGAUAUCAGGAAGAACACCCGUGGCGAAGGCGGUUCUCUGGGACGGUACUGACGCUGAGACGCGAAAGCGUGGGGAGCGAACAGG